rnacentral:miRNA from 1 species
UGGGGCUGUGACCUCCCGUGCCUACUGAACUGAUAUCAGUGUGUGUACGGAAUACUGGCUCAGUUCAGCAGGAACAGGAGUUAAGCCCAACUG